rnacentral:rRNA from 1 species
UACGGAGGGUGCAAGCGUUACUCGGAAUCACUGGGCGUAAAGCGCGCGCAGGCGGCUUGAUAAGUUGGAUGUGAAAGCCUACGGCUCAACCGUAGAACUGCAUCCAAAACUGUCAGGCUAGAGUGUGGGAGAGGAAGAUGGAAUUAGUUGUGUAGGGGUAAAAUCCGUAGAGAUAACUAGGAAUACCAAAAGCGAAGGCA